CGCUUCCAGGACCCAGCUCCCGCGUCAGCCAGGGGCGGGGAGCCGCGGGCGGCUGACAGCCUGUUUACGCUCAAGCUCCGCCCGUGUCCUUUUCUCCCUGCCGGGAAUGGAAGCGGCAGAGUCUGCCCCCGGGGACCGCGCCCGGAAACCGCCGCCGGGGGCCGGGGCUCCGGGACGCGCCUCCGCCCCCACGGCGCACCCCCGUCCUGCGUGGGAGCGGCCCGGCCCCGGAUGCGGCCCCGGCCAGCGGGCUCCGUUCCUCUGGCCCGCUCCCCCCCACGCGCGUCCUUCCCCACCUCCGAGGGGUCCGUCGCUUCCUCCCUGACGCAACCGCUCCUGAAGAGGGCUGGGACCCCCGCCCGCGUGUGCGCAGUGGGCGCUCUCCGUUCUCGCCCCCGGCUCCGUCCGUUUGUAAAGGAUGGAGGCCGGUGGGAGAAGCCGGGAGUGGGCAGGCAGGCGGACCCGGAGGGAAGACUUCCAAGCUGUCAGCAGCCCUCCCAUCCCCGCCCUGGAACACCCACCCACCUAGUCUUCGCUCCGAUCCCCGCGGGCUGGGAAAGAGGAGGAGGAGGCUCUCUUCUCCCGGAUACUUGGCAGCCCCGAGGAGAACAAGUCUCCUUAAAGCGAAGGAAAGAAAAUUCUUCUCCCAAAGUCCUGUUGGACCAGCUUUGCCUCCUAUAA
rnacentral:lncRNA from 1 species